GCCCUGAAGGCCUAGUGGUUAAAGUUUGGCGCUCUCACUGCUUCAGCGGCCCAGGUUCGCUUCCUGGUCAUGGCA
rnacentral:tRNA from 1 species